rnacentral:rRNA from 1 species
CCUUUGCAAACUCCGAAUACCAGUAAGUACUAUCCGGGAGACACACGGCGGGUGCUAACGUCCGUCGUGAAGAGGGAAACAACCCAGACCGCCAGCUAAGGUCCCAAAGUUAUAGCUAAGUGGGAAACGAUGUGGGAAGGCUCAGACAGCCAGGAUGUUGGCUUAGAAGCAGCCAUCAUUUAAAGAAAGCGUAAUAGCUCACUGGUCGAGUCGGCCUGCGCGGAAGAUUUAACGGGGCUAAGCUAUACACCGAAGCUGCGGCAAUGUGCUUUUGCACAUUGGGUAGGGGAGCGUCUGUAAGCCGUUGAAGGUGUGCUGUAAGGCAUGCUGGAGGUAUCAGAAGUGCGAAUGCUGACAUGAGUAACGAUAAAGGGAGUGAA